rnacentral:rRNA from 1 species
AUGUGUGGCAAUGAUAAUGAGACCCUGUUUCACUCACUGAUAGAAUGUGAGCAUGCCAUGCGGUUUUGGGAGGCAGCACAACGUUUCUUUGGUAUUGAUAUACCACAUCUACACCCACUGUCAUGGUCUCGAGACCUUCCAGAUCAGUGACUGUAUAAGAAGGAGGAGGCGGCUAUUAUGAUUACUGUGAUGUGGGCAGUGUGGCAUUCAAGGAACAAUUACAUGCAUGGUGAAUUGAUUUAUCAGCCUAUGAAAUCUAUGGUGAUUAUUGAGGAGAUUGUUCGGGCACUUGAGAUCCCGGAGAGGAAGAAGACCCCAACCAUUACCCCACCGAGGUGGGUUCCACCGGAGGAGGGGUGGAUUAAGAUCAAUACGGAGGGAGCAACGGAUAUGGGUCUUGUGAGGGGAGGAGCAGGCUAUAUUGCGCGAGAUCAUCACAGUGCUCUCAUUAGAGCCGGAGGCUCAAGAUAUGACGGGGUUAUGGACCCUUUGUCCAUUGAGCUACUCGCAUGCAGAGACGCGAUCAUCAUGGCACAAUCCAUGGGUUUCCAGCAUGUGUUGAUGGAGACAGACUGUCAGGAGAUUCAACGGCUCUGGGAGGCACCUCAGAGAUCGACAUGUUAUCACCUCAUUGUGGAGAUGAAGGAGAUGUCUACUUUGUUUCAGGGAUUCAGGCUACGGUUCUCGGGUCGUCAUACUAAUAUGGCGGCUCACCGUGUAGCUAGGCAUUCGUUAUAUUUGAGUGUUUUUAUGCAUUUGUAUGAUACAAUCCCUGGGUGGCUGACUGAUUGUUUGCAGUCAGACAUGCUAGUGCCUAAUGAAUAA